rnacentral:tRNA from 1 species
GCAAUAGUGGUCUAGUGGUAAAAUAGUACCCUACCGUGGUACAGACCCGGGUUUGAUUCCCGAUUGGUGCA